GAACAAGAUCAGACUAAUUUCUAGUUGGUCUGCACAAGGAUUAGGUUUAAUGAGAUUAGAUUGGACUCGCUCGGAUUAUACACUUCGCUUGGAGUUCUUAGCCAAGAACCCCAAAUUUAUGAUCUUAAACUAACAAUAAUGUCGUCGCACAUCGCUCCCUCCUUGCCCUGCUCCCUCAUCCUCGUCCUCCUCACCCUCAUCUUUGCGUCCUGCUCGCCCUCAUUUGCUCCUCUUAUCUGGCAAACUUCAAAUCUUCGAUUUGUUAUGCAGAUCGUGAUAUUAUUGAGCUUUAUUUGAUUUAGAUAUUUUGGGUUUAAAAAAUUUUCGAUAAUAAACCUCUGCAUUUGAACAAAUUAGGGUUUUGAUUUUUAGGGUCAAAUUGAGAUUAUAAUUUGGGCCAGCCAAAUUCUAACCUCAAUUUGACCCUAAAAAUCAAAUUGCACUUGAUAUUUUCUGUUCAAGGGCGGUUGUUUCUGUUCAAUAACAGAAAAUAUGAACGUGAAGAACAGCAACAACUGCAGCAGCGACAAGGAGAGGGAGCUCCUCCACCUUAUUCUCAAGCGACCUCUCAGGAACCCUCCACCCAAACCGCCCCUCCUCCUUCCCCGUUCGAUCCCAGUCGAAGUAACCCUCUCUCUCUCUCUGUGGUUCUUUUGAACUAAUGUCUUUAAGAUGCCAUUUUUAUGUAUCUGAAUUUUUUCCAUCUGUUUUUAUUUAUUUAUUUAUGGAAUCUGGGUUUAUUGACAGGUGUUGAAUUUCAGAAUCUAAGUUGAGUUUUUGCAGGUUGUAUAGUGCGAUUUAGUUAAGGUUUAAGUGUUAGAGUUUGUCAAUCUGUUAAAUUUUAUGUCGGGCAAGUUCUUGUUAUAUUUGAAAUAUCGGGUCAGUGAUUGCGAUUUCUUGUGUAACUACAUCUGUGUUAAAACCACGGAAUACAAUUCAUAAAUACACCAUAUCUUCUUGAAACUCAGUCCAAAUUCGGACCCAAAACUCAAAUUAUUCGUCAAGAAAUGCAUCCGUCUCGAAUCUCAGUGUGUUUGUAGUCAUCUCAACUGGAUUCGAUCUCCCCGAAAUGUAAAAUUACUACCUUCAACUCCCCUUAGACCUUAUCUAUAAUAUUGUGGCCGAAAGUUGAGGUCUAAAGGAAGCUGCAUGUAUGUGUGUGCUUUUGUGGUACGGAUCCCAUUAUAGGUUGCGAGAAGAGGAGCAUAAACGGAAGUGGCAUCAGUGCUCAGAACCCAAGGGAAAACAAGUGACAGACGAUUCAAAACCCUCAAGUCUAGAAGUAAAGGAGUUGGGACCUAUCGCCGGCUGGUAAUAAGACUCAUUUAAUUGUCAUGGGAAUAAGGCCUGACUGGAAUUUCUAAUGAGGAGAAUUGACGCUAUUGUAUUGUUAAUGUUUAUUGAAAUUGUAUUAUCACUUCUUGUUAAUGUUUAUUGCCAUUCUGUGAUUGAUGUAUUUGUAUAAAUUUUUGAAUCCACGACAUAUUUCUGGUU